UUGGUUGAAGCCAAAAUAGAGGCAAUUCAUUGUUAAUGAAAAAAUUGAUAAAAAUCUAACCAAA
rnacentral:tRNA from 1 species